rnacentral:rRNA from 1 species
UACGAAGGGGGCUAGCGUUGUUCGGAAUCACUGGGCGUAAAGCGCACGUAGGCGGAUCUUUAAGUCAGAGGUGAAAUCCCAAGGCUCAACCUUGGAACUGCCUUUGAUACUGGAGAUCUUGAGUCCGGGAGAGGUGAGUGGAACUGCGAGUGUAGAGGUGAAAUUCGUAGAUAUUCGCAAGAACACCAGUGGCGAAGGCGGCUCACUGGCCCGGUAUUGACGCUGAGGUGCGAAAGCGUGGGGAGCAAACAGG